rnacentral:pre_miRNA from 1 species
GCAUCCGUAUCCAACUCAAUCCAUGUGGGUUGGAGUGGAUUGAGGUGGAAAAUAGUUUAAGUUCCACCCAAUCCACUCCAACACAUGUGGAUUGAGAUAGAUACGACU